AAGGGUCUAAGUCAACCACAGUAGAAAACUGCUGAAGUAUAACAUUGUAUUGGAGUGGGGGAGCUUUGCUUAGAUAUAAGAGAGUGUUGCGCCACUCGAGAGAUCUCAUGGCAUUUUUCAAGGAUGAGCAUAAGAGCAUUAAAAUGGGAGAAGACCACUAUAAGUCUGGUCAUGUGGAGAAGUGCAGCUAUAGUGAGGGGCAACUUACCGGUUUGGUCAGGACCAGCAUGAGGGAUAAAGUUUAUCCUGUGUCGUUCAUAAUAUUGGCCAUAUGGGCGUGGAAUGCGAGUGGAGGAAGCCAGCCGUGCCCAACAAAAUGCAGUCAGUGGAGGGCUUGUACCCAGCCAAAGACUACAACGCUCUGUCCCGAGAGCACACAGACGAUGUUCAGUGACUAAUGAACUGUCUCCGGGGCAGGUUCAGUGGAAUGGCAUGUUUCCUUGAACCUGAGCCAGAACAACUGCUACCCUCCCUGUCAUCCCUGUCUGUACUGAAAAUUAUUAAAAAACAAGAGCACCUGGGGCAUGCAGGCAUCCUGGCUGGCAUGGCGCUGUCGGUGGAGCAGCAGGAGGCUAAACGGCAGGCAACAGUUGGACAGCGCA
rnacentral:lncRNA from 1 species